rnacentral:rRNA from 1 species
UACGGAGGGUGCGAGCGUUGUCCGGAAUCACUGGGCGUAAAGGGCGCGUAGGCGGCAUGCCAAGCGUGUGGUGAAAGCCCGGGGCUCAACCCCGGGUCGGCCGUGCGGACUGGCGUGCUCGAGCACUGUAGGGGCGGGUGGAAUUCCGGGUGUAGGCGGUGGAAUGCGUAGAGAUCCGGAAGAACACCGGUGGCGAAGGCGGCCCGACUGG